rnacentral:rRNA from 1 species
GAUGAACGCUGGCGGCGUGCCUAAUACAUGCCAGUCGAGCGAACGGACGAGAAGCUUGCUUCUCUGAUGUUAGCGGCGGACGGGUGAGUAACACGUGGAUAACCUACCUAUAAUACUGGGAUAACUUCGGGAAACCGGAGCUAAUACCGGAUAAUAUUUUGAACCGCAUGGUUCAAAAGUGAAACACGGUCUUGCUGUAACUUCUAGAUGGAUCCGCGCUGCAUUAUCUAGUUGGGAAGGUAACGGGUUAUCAAGGCAACGAUGCAUAGACGAACUGAUAGGGUGAUCGGCCACACUGGAACUGAGACACGGUCCAGACUCCUGCGGGAGGCAGCAGUAGGGAAUCUUCCGCAAUGGGCGAAAGCCUGACGGAGCAACGCCGCGUGAGUGAUGAAGGUCUUCGGAGCGUAAAACUCUGUUAUUAGGGAAGAACAUAUGUGUAAGUAACUGUGCACAUCUUGACGGUACCUAAUCAGAAAGCCACGGCUAACUACGUG